GAUGAACGCUAGCGGCAGGCUUAACACAUGCAAGUCGGGCGGCAGCGGGGUGGGAGCUUGCUCCCACUGCCGGCGAGCGGCGCACGGGUGAGUAACACGUAUGCAACCUGGCCGUCACAGGUGGAUAACCGGAAGAAAUUCCGACUAAUACAGCAUAACACUCCUGAGGGACAUCCUUCGGGAGUCAAAGGAGGCGACUCCGGUGACGGAUGGGCAUGCGGCGCAUUAGGUAGUUGGUAGGGUAACGGCCUACCAAGCCGACGAUGCGUAGGGGUUCUGAGAGGAAGGUCCCCCACAUUGGAACUGAGACACGGUCCAA
rnacentral:rRNA from 1 species